UUUAAAUGGGUAUACUGAGAUGAUGCUUUUUAAAUGGGUUUACUGUGUAGUCCUGUGUAUCACGUAGACUAUACCAUAUUAAGGUAUUUAAGUAUUUAUACUUAAAUACCAUAUUGGUAUUUAAAUGCCAUAUACCAAG